rnacentral:rRNA from 1 species
UACGUAGGGUGCGAGCGUUGUCCGGAAUUAUUGGGCGUAAAGAGCUUGUAGGCGGUUUGUCGCGUCUGCCGUGAAAAUUCGAGGCUCAACCUCGAACUUGCGGUGGGUACGGGCAGACUAGAGUGUGGUAGGGGAGACUGGAAUUCCUGGUGUAGCGGUGAAAUGCGCAGAUAUCAGGAGGAACACCGGUGGCGAAGGCGGGUCUCUGGGCCGUAACUGACGCUGAGGCGCGAAAGCGUGGGGAGCGAACAGG